rnacentral:rRNA from 1 species
AUUGAACGCUGGCGGCAGGCCUAACACAUGCAAGUCGAGCGGAUGACGGGAGCUUGCUCCUUGAUUCAGCGGCGGACGGGUGAGUAAUGCCUAGGAAUCUGCCUGGUAGUGGGGGACAACGUUUCGAAAGGAACGCUAAUACCGCAUACGUCCUACGGGAGAAAGCAGGGGACCUUCGGGCCUUGCGCUAUCAGAUGAGCCUAGGUCGGAUUAGCUAGUUGGUGGGGUAAUGGCUCACCAAGGCGACGAUCCGUAACUGGUCUGAGAGGAUGAUCAGUCACACUGGAGCUGAGACACGGUCCAGACUCCUACGGGAGGCAGCAGUGGGGAAUAUUGGACAAUGGGCGAAAGCCUGAUCCAGCCAUGCCGCGUGUGUGAAGAAGGUCUUCGGAUUGUAAAGCACUUUAGGUUGGGAGGAAGGGCAGUAAGUUAAUACCUUGCUGUUUUGACGUUACCGACAGAAUAAGCACCGGCUAACUCUGUGCCAGCCGCCGCAGUAACAC